rnacentral:rRNA from 1 species
AUUGAACGCUAGCGGGAUGCCUUACACAUGCAAGUCGAACGGAGUGGCGAACGGGUGAGUAAUGUAUAGGAACGUGCCCAGUAGCGGGGGAUAACUAAGUGAAAGCGGAGCUAAUACCGCAUACUAUUGGAGCGGCCGAGUUCGGAUGAGCUAGUUGGUGGGGUAACGGCUCACCAAGGCGACGAUCCGUAGCUGGGUUGAGAGGACGACCAGCCACACGGGAACUUAGAUACGGCCCAGACUCCUACGUGAGGCAGCAGUGGGGAAUGUUGGACAAUGGGGGAAACCCUGAUCCAGCCAUCCCGCGUGUGCGAUGAAGGCCGUCGGGUUGUAAAGCACUGUUGGCAGGAAAGCGGUACCUGCAGAAUAAGCACCGGCUAACUACGUGCCAGCAGCCGCGGUAAUAC